rnacentral:rRNA from 1 species
GAUGAACGCUGGCGGCGUGCCUAAUACAUGCAAGUCGAGCGAACGGACGAGAAGCUUGCUUUUCUGAUGUUAGCGGCGGACGGGUGAGUAACACGUGGAUAACCUACCUAUAAGACUGGGAUAACUUUGGGAAACCGGAGCUAAUACCGGAUAAUAUUUUGAACCGCAUGGUUCAAAAGUGAAAGACGGUCUUGCUGUCACUUAUAGAUGGAUCCGCGCUGCAUUAGCUAGUUGGUAAGGUAACGGCUUACCAAGGCAACGAUGCAUAGCCGACCUGAGAGGGUGAUCGGCCAAACUGGAACUGAGACACGGUCCAGACUCCUACGGGAGGCAGCAGUAGGGAAUCUUCCGCAAUGGGCGAAAGCCUGACGGAGCAACGCCGCGUGAGUGAUGAAGGUCUUCGGAUCGUAAAACUCUGUUAUUAGGGAAGAACAUAUGUGUAAGUAACUGUGCACAUCUUGACGGUACCUAAUCAGAAAGCCACGGCUAACUACGU